UUCCUGAGAAAUGCGUGUGUAUUUUUUCCUUCCAGGUGCCUCCUCCAUGCCGGGCAUUCCGAGCAGAGCAGAGCUCGAUGGGAUCUGGAGCUUCAGCCCUGCUCCAGGUGCAGCAUGCGGAGCGGCUCAUAGGUGGCAGAGCAGAACCUGCCGUGCCGCGAUCUGUGCUCACAGCGCUGCGCAGAGCAGCGAGUUGCAAUGUGACAGCGCAACAACCUGUCGGAACACCGCGCCGCUCCGCAGCCGGGGAUCCCUCACGUUUAUGUGGGCUGACAGUCUCGGCCCCUCUCCGCUGCCGUCAUAACCAGGGUGCAGGGCGAGAUGGGAGCAGCUUUGCACUAAUCGUGGUCUUCUGCCCAUUUCUGAGGGCAGAUGUUCAGUCCCCUCCAGCAGCGCUGGACAGAACGCCUCAACGAUGAGAGCAAGACUCCGCUGAAAACUUCAAUCCUAUUCUGCUGUCCAUUCAAAGUCAAUUGCAAAACCCCGUUUGACUCCAUACAGCAAUAGAGCUGGCAUCUGCAAAACAAUACCAAAACAAAAACAUCAGCAGAAAUCCAGUUUGGUGUGUCUAUUCUAUUUCUCUUAUGGACACUUAGAAUGUUGUGUCCUGGAUAAGAGUUGGAUUGCUCCAUGUUUUCCAAAAGCGGUCUUUGAAUCAGCCUUUAUUUUAGGAUAAAUGCUCCAAAAUGAAGCAUCACUCUGGCUAGGACUAUGCUGUGCUCCAGCUGCUAAGGCGUGCUGGGGAGGAACUUAAAAGAAGGCAGAUUUGAAAGACCCUCAGAAGAAACAAACACCACUACUUUCGUUCCCCAUCUCUUUUGAAUAGAAGAAACAUUCCCACACACACCUGCAUAACGUUUCAAAGCUUUGCCUUUUUUUUUUCUUCAGCCUCGUGUGGGUCUUAAAUUCUAAACAAAAAGAGAUCCUCCUGUCCUUUUGGUUGUACCCUUUCUAACUUUAAUAAUGGGUUUGAUGCCUUCCCCAGUAAAGCUGGACCAGUUAAGAAAACCGGGCAAUUGAGCAAUAAAAAUAAGAGGAGGGAGACCUCUCUUGGUUGGCUUCUUGUUGUUCUCUCCUUGCAAUGUAAACUGAGAUCUUUCAGUGAAGGUUUGCGUUAGCUGUAGGUGCCAAUGUUUGUGUUUAAGGGUAUGGGAAAAAGCCAUCGUUUCUUCCAAAACUUGUAUUUUCUAAGAUGAUGCCAGUGGUGAGGAUAGGUUUUUCCUCUUCCUGCUUUUGUUAUAAAUGGCAGUAAAGUAGUGAUGAUUUUCUAGCUUACCUUUGAUGUUUAUUUUAUUACCGUUCCACUAUUUGUGUGGAAAAUGUACACAUUGUCUCUUAUCUUUAUUCAAAGAACUUAAAAAGUCAUUCAAAUGCUGUAGGUAAACACGUCAGACAUAACAGAAGCUUUUCACAGCCUUACUUCAAGACAAGGAGUGGAUGGCAAAGCUGGUUUUGCAAGAUUUAAGAGAGGACAAGAGCCUGUGCUCAAAAUAACACAAUUAAAGAUAGCUAUUAGUGGCUAUUAGUGGAGUGGGGGUACCUUCCUAAGAUCAACACUGAUUUUUGUUUAGGCUCAAGGCCUCUGUGCUGCCUCUCAGCCAAUCCCUGUGUAAAUUGACCCGGAAAUCUAGUUUACCUGAGAAAACACAUGAAGGUACUUAUGUGAGGGCUGAGCAUGGUUUAAACAGAGCCUUCCCAGCCCAAGUGGGAGUGAAGUCAAGACUGCUGCCAUUGCUGCCCACGAAGGAAUGGAUGUAGUUUUAAGAAGAGGCAAACUAGUACAACUGCUCCUGUCUCCCACCACUGAGAGUGUAUGUAACCUCAACUCUUUUCCUGCUAUAGUUUUUUAAAAGGCACAGUAUCGCCUUCAGGUUUAUAAAGAUUAACACAAUCAUCGGAAAAACUGAUUCUGUUAAGUAAACUUCACAUCAAAAGCGCUUUGAUGUGCUGUAUUAUAGCAAAGCCAAACACUCCACCCCCAUCACCCCAAGAAAAACCUCCAAAAACCUCUUAGUGAAGCAAUGUGAAAAAAAUCCAGAUUCUUUGUUCUAAAAUGGAAUGUCUCUUCCUCUUGAGCACAGCAGAGCAGCACUUUUUUUUUGAUGUAUGACCCCCUCUUUUCCUACCCAAAACAGUACCUAAUCAAAAACAAAGAAGAGAAAUGUGAAUGGUGGGUCUCAAAUCACACACACAACUUUGCUUCCCAUUUUCUGUAGCAUUUGACUCCUUUAUUUCAGAGUUUGCCAAUGAGUGUUUGAAGGUAAAAAAGUUUGCUCAAACUUUAAGUUCUAGUAUUACUCUCCUCUAAAUGUAGCAAAAUGCUACACCGUUGUGUGGUUUUGGGUAUGUUUUUGGUUGACCCAGUUGUGUUACUUAUAUGGUACUUCAAGCCAAGGUUUGACUGUACACUCCAGCAAAUAUUAUGUAAAGGUGUGUUGCUCUAUGGACUUGAUUAUAUCAUUGUUGUUAUUAUUAUUAUUUUUUAUCUUUCUUUUUCACCUGAUCCUUUCUUACUCUCUUUUCUGUCCCUUGUCCCUCCAGAUGGCUAACUAGAUUAGAGAGUACUUCCAGAUAAGAUCUUAUAAGCACAAUUGGUCAACAAAUGCCUCUGUGUUGACUGGGCGAGCCUGAUAGCUAGUGGUAGGCAAGCUUAUUUGUACAUCUGAGAUGUCCGGCACAGCAGCUGGACAAAGUGCUUCAUCAUCUCUUUUCCUCCUCCUGUAGCAAGCUGCAGGAGUGCGGUGCCUUGCCAGGAAUGAUGAAAUUGGACAAUGCAAUACGCUACGUGAACAACAAUAGACCAGUUCAAAGAGUUCUCUUUGGAUGGGCUGCUCACAGCGGGAGAAUUGCCUAGCAUGCAUAAAUGAACUACAGAGUCUGUGGAGGUUGGCUAAUUACACUACAUACAUUUUUAUAGUUGAAGGAAAUCCAGCUGGAGACUAAGCUGUAAGAAAGGAGGUCAGUGGAAAUUCAUUUAGACCUUGAGAGGAAGAUUUUGAUCACUGUGGUAGAAUGUGUGUCUGCGUGAAUCCCCUCGUUGUGAACUCUACGGAUUUGCACUUUUCCACAGGAACAAGCAUUCCCUUGGCGUAGAGAUUCCCAUGUGUCUUUGGCAAAUACCAAGAGCUGAGUUUACAGCGGGGACUUCCAUUUUGACUUUGUUUUUUAUAACAUGAUGUUUAGUUUCUUGGGAGUUGUUGCUUGAGAACAAAUUUUCCCAUGCCCAAAGGCUUAGAAUCACUUCCUCCCUGUGCCCACUUCAUGUCCCAUACAAAAGUCUACAUCUCAGCAAAUUUUUCCUUUGUACUGGAUUGUGACAGAAUGGGCAGGGACAGAUUUUUCCCCUGUGAAGAGGAUGACAUUACUGCUGUUGUUACUAAUGCUUCGUACUGCAGAAGUAAUUCCUUGUUCUCAACUGUCCUUCCCACACAGAUCUCAGAGCUCACCCACUUUACAACCAAAGUAGUGAAGGGGAGAUGCCCUGCUGAAAUCUGUUUGGCAAGUCAGUAGCAAUGCUGUCCGUAGAACUGAGCUCUUCAAAGUCUUCAUCCUGUGCUGCAUCCACUCAGGUAUCCCCCGCAAGUCCUACUCAGAAGUGUUGUGCCAUUUAGGAACCGCUGCUGGAACUGGAAUCAUGUUGUCAGGAGUCUCAGAUAACUUGCAGUUUUGUUUGUCAGGAUCAAGUGAACUUCAUUAUUCAGGAGCAGGCUGCAGUGGCCUUCCUAGACAGAUACAUGCAAUUGUGAAGAAUCAUUAAAUAACUGUUAACCACACCUGCACAGAGCCUCUGGCAAUGCUGGCUUAUACAGAAACUCGAGAACUGCCAUGUGCCUGACAUCAUACCUUUGGAAGAAAAGAGAAGUCCUGGGUGUUAGCCCAAUCUGAGCACAAGUUCUCAGAACUGCUGCCUGAAUUUGUAAAUGCUUACACAUGUUCUCACGUCAAGGGCUUGUCAUCAUCUCAACCCAAAGCAGGUGUUUGCAACACAUGAAGCAAUCACCUGGGAUAAGCUAGAGAGCUCUACGUGUAUUUGAGGUGAGUUUCAACCUGUCUGUGUUCUAUUUAGGAAGUGCCUAAAAUGCAUAUCUCCCAGUUUUUAAAUAUUCAGACUGCCCUGUAUAAUAGCAGUUGUUUAUUAUCAAAAGAUACUCCCCUUGUUAAUCAAACUUCAUCCCAAAGUUAAGACAUACCUGAACAUAGCGGGCUAAACCAACUCAUUGUGUAAAGUAAGAGGGAGUGCUCCUUGAAAUUUAUUUCUUGCUUAAAAGCUGCACAUUGUGUUCCACCUCAAGGCUUGUUGUUCUUUUCCUUAGCCUGGAUACCACUCACUCAUUAUUCUUUCUGAAGCAGAAUGUCUGUUUUGUAACAUCUUUCCAUGAAAAGCUGGAACAUCAGUGUUUGCUCCUGGAAAAGAUGAGUUAAUAUAUGUAUGCAUAUACCCUGAUGCUUGCCUUUGCUUAACCAAUAGUAACAAGGAUAUCUUUACUGAUACCAUGAGCCUUCCCAAACUGUUAUUUCCACUGUUAUUGAUAUGUUGCUUAACAGAACUAGCUUAAGCUUGCCGUAUUGAAUCUUUCAUUGCUUGCGUUGCAUUGAUUGGUUAUCUUUUUCUGUUAACUUUCCAUAUAUAACUUAAUUAUGUUGUGACUAAUAGGACGUGUUAUCAGAUGCUGUGGCCUUCAGUGAAGCGUUGUGUGAUGACCUGGACAAUAAGUUGCGCGUUUUUUGUAUUUAACUGUCUCUGUUUUGGAUGAAGAUAACUGCCAGCAUGUGUGAUUGCAACCCUGUUGCCAAAAGAGGUGUGUCUGUUUAUGCCAGUGAGCUGACUGACUGAUGGUAUAAAUAUAAUGGCACGGUAAUUACUGAUUACAGAUACAAUAAGGAUCAAAUUGUUUUUCACACAGAAUGCUUUUAUUAUGCUGGAAGCAUAUCUUUUUUUUGGUCAGUGAAGAAUGCUAACCAAGAGUAUG